CAGGGGGAGUUAGUUGAGGUUAUUUCCACAGUAGAGCAGAUUUGCUUAAGUAACCCCCUGACAAAAAUAGCUUAGUUCCGCCUCCCCGCAGCAUGCCUGCCCCUCCCUGCUGUGUGCAUUUCCCCCAGUCCUUCAGUCGUUAAAAAUUUUCCCAUUUCAUUUAUACUCCAGUUUCAGUUCCGUUGAUUCAAAGUUUUGGGACUUAGGACAAGUUUGCUAGCUUCUCUGAGCCUCAGUUUUUUAAACCGUUAAAUAGGAAUAACAGCAUGCUGAGUGCCAAGAAUUAAAGAAAAAUUUAUGUGAAAAUAUAGAUUAGAAAGAAAACUAAUAUAAAUGCAGGGGAUUAUGAUCAUAAUACUCAUAAAACUUCAGUACUCCCUGGGAAGAUCCAAUGGCCGUCAGUCAUGUGCACGUGAUCAGAAUCUGGGCCAUCAUAUUUUUUUAAGCAAGUUGAUGGCCUGAGGGUUCUUGGCCAGGUGGGAGGAGGCUGCUCUGGGAUGUUGAAGAGAGAUUUUAAAAAGGAGAUGGAAGGCUGUGAAAACAUAGUUCAAAUUGGAGGGAGCUUGGGCAGAUACCACCUUUUCUUUUAAGGAAUGAAUUUGACUUUUGCUGAUGGAGCCUCUCUGAAGGGCAAAUUCAAAGUACAGCUGGGUGCUGCAGCACUGGAGUGCGAACUUGUGGCUGUGGUUAUGAAGGAGCCUCGUCAGCUAUGCCUUUAGCCCCUGGUGAAGCAGUGCCAGUCACACUUUGCCAGUCAAACGGAGAGGCAGCAGUAGUAAGACCAGACCAAAUCAAACCAAACCAAGCAAACCACGGGGAAUGGAGGUCAUGUGAGCACACAGCAUAAAGGCAGCUGCCCACAAGCCAGGAAGAGAAGCAUCAUCAGAAACCGACCAUACUGGCUUCCUGAUCUCAGACUUUCAGCCUCCAGAAUGAUUAUUGCCUGCUCCUCCAAGCCCUUCACUGUAGAAUGGAAGCCUGUGAUUUUCCUGGCAUCAUGCAUGACUGAGAAGGUCAGUGUGGCUAAUUCUGAGCUUCAACAUCAGGAAACCCGUAGUUCUUCACACUGAGCCGCCUCCUGCAGCACAGUCAUCCUUGAUUCAUGAAGUUUAGCCCAGACUCUCUGAAUCCAGUAUUCCUGUGGAUGUGGCCUAGGAAUCUGCA
rnacentral:lncRNA from 1 species